rnacentral:sRNA from 1 species
GCCGGGGGUUGUGGCGGGCGCCUGUAGUCCCAGCUACUUGGGAGGCUGAGGCAGGAGACUCGCUUGAGCCCAGGAGUUGGAGGUUGCUGUGAGCUGUGAUGUCAUAGCACUCUACCCAGGGGGAUAGCUUGAGGCUCUGUCUCAAAAAAAAAAAAGAGACAGUCUCACUUUGUCGACGUCAGUAGAGUGCUGGGGCGUCACAGCUUACAGCAACCUCCAGAUCUUGGGCUUAGGCGAUUCUCUUGCC